rnacentral:rRNA from 1 species
UACGGAGGGAGCAAGCGUUACUCGGAAUUACUGGGCGUAAAGGGCGCGUAGGCGAUUUUGUAAGUCUUGUGUGAAAGCCCAAAGCCUAACUUUGGAAGUGCACAAGAAACUGCGAGAAUUGAGUUCCGGAGAGGAAGAUGGAAUUCCCGGUGUAGCGGUGAAAUGCGUAGAUAUCGGGGGGAACACCAGUGGCGAAGGCGGCACUCUGGGCCGGAACUGACGCUGAGGAGCGAAAGCGUGGGGAGCGAACAGG